ensembl:lncRNA
AUACAGUAUAGUGCACUACUUAGGCACCCUAUUCCCUAUAUACAGUAUAGUGCACUACUUAGGCACCCUAUUCCCUAUAUAAAGUAUAGUGCACUGCUUAGGCACCCUAUUCCCUAUAUACAGUAUAGUGCACUACUUAGGCACCCUAUUCCCUAUAUACAGUAUAGUGCACUACUUAGGCACCCUAUUCCAUAUAUACAGUAUAGUGCACUGCUUAGGUACCCUAUUCCCCAUAUACAGUAUAGUGCACUACUUAGGCACCCUAUUCCAUAUAUACAGUAUAGUACACUACUUAGGCACCCUAUUCCCUAUAUACAGUAUAGUACACUGCUUAGGCACCCUAUUCCCUAUUCCCCAUAUACAGUAUAGUGCACUACUUAGGCACCCUAUUCCCUAUAUACAGUAUAGUGCACUACUUAGGCACCCUAUUCCCUAUAUACAGUAUAGUGCACUACUUAGGCACCCUAUUCCCUAUAUACAGUAUAGUGCACUACUUAGGCACCCUAUUCCCUAUAUACAUUAUAGUGCACUACUUAGGCACCCUAUUCCCUAUAUACAGUAUAGUGCACUACUUAGGCACCCUAUUCCCUAUACACAGUAUAGUGCACUACUUAGGCACCCUAUUCCCUAUAUACAGUAUAGUGCACUACUUAAGCACCCUAUUCCCUAUAUACAGUAUAGUGCACUACUUAGGCACCCUAUUCCCCAUAUACAGUAUAGUGCACUACUUAGGCACCCUAUUCCAUAUAUACAGUACACUACUUAGGCACCCUAUUCCCUAUAUACAGUGCACUACUUAGGCACCCUAUUCCCUAUAUACAGUAUAGUGCACUACUUAGGCACCCUAUUCCCUAUAUACAGUAUAGUGCACUACUUAGGCACCCUAUUCCCUAUAUAAAGUAUAGUACACUGCUUAGGCACCCUAUUCACUAUAUACAGUAUAGUGCACUACUUAGG